rnacentral:rRNA from 1 species
UACGUAGGGUGCGAGCGUUAAUCGGAUUUACUGGGCGUAAAGCGUGCGCAGGCGGCCGGUUAAGACAGGUGUGAAAUCCCUGGGCUCAACCUAGGAAUUGCGCUUGUGACUGGCGGGCUCGAGUACGGUAGAGGGGGGUGGAAUUCCUGGUGUAGCAGUGAAAUGCGUAGAGAUCAGGAGGAACACCGAUGGCGAAGGCAGCCCCCUGGGCCUGUACUGACGCUCAUGCACGAAAGCGUGGGGAGCAAACAGG